rnacentral:rRNA from 1 species
GAUGAACGCUAGCUACAGGCUUAACACAUGCAAGUCGCGGGGCAGCAUGGGGGUUGCUUGCCACCCCUGAUGGCGACCGGCGCACGGGUGAGUAACGCGUAUCCAACCUGCCCUUCACCACGGGAUAACCCGGCGAAAGUCGGACUAAUACCGUAUGUUGUCCAUUGACGGCAUCCGAUUUGGACGGAAGGCGUGGCGGGGAAAGGGUGGGGGUGCGUUCGAUUAGCUUGACGGGGGGGUAACGGCCGACCGUGGCUACGAUCGGUAGGGGUUCUGAGAGGAAGGUCCCCCACACUGGAACUGAGACACGGUCCAGACUCCUACGGGAGGCAGCAGUGAGGAAUAUUGGUCAAUGGGCGUAAGCCUGAACCAGCCAAGUAGCGUGCAGGAUGACGGCCCUAUGGGUUGUAAACUGCUUUUAUGCGGGGAUAAAGUGGCCCACGUGUGGGCUUUUGCAGGUACCGCAUGAAUAAGGACCGGCUAAUUCCGUG